rnacentral:rRNA from 1 species
CCUGGCGGCGUGCUUACCAUGCAAGUCGAACGGAAACUUAUUGAAACGCAAGUAGAUAUAAGUUUUAGUGGCGGACGGGUGAGUAACGCGUGGGUAACCUGCCGUAUGCAGGGGGAUAACAGUUAGAAAUGACUGCUAAUACCGCAUAAGACCACAGUCUCGCAUGAGACAGGGGUAAAAACUCCGGUGGCAUACGAUGGACCCGCGUCUGAUUAGAUAGUUGGUGAGGUAACGGCCCACCAAGUCAACGAUCAGUAGCCGGCCUGAGAGGGUGAACGGCCACAUUGGGACUGAGACACGGCCCAAACUCCUACGGGAGGCAGCAGUGGGGAAUAUUGCACAAUGGGCGAAAGCCUGAUGCAGCGACGCCGCGUGAGUGAAGAAGUAUUUCGGUAUGUAAAGCUCUAUCAGCAGGGAAGAAAAUGACGGUACCUGACUAAGAAGCACCGGCUAAAUACGUGCCAGCAGCCGCGGUAAU